UUCCUUACCUGGCAAGGGAGAUUCCAUGAUCACAAAGGUGGUUUUCCCAGGGCGAGGCUUUCCAUUGCAUUCCAAAUGUGCUGACCCCUGCGAUUUCCCCAAAUGUGGGAGACGCGACUGCAUAAUUUGUGAUUGUGGGGAACUGCAUUCAUGCUUUUCCCUA
rnacentral:snRNA from 1 species